rnacentral:rRNA from 1 species
UACGGAGGGUGCAAGCGUUAUCCGGAUUCACUGGGUUUAAAGGGUGUGUAGGCGGGUAUUUAAGUCAGUGGUGAAAUCUCCGGGCUCAACCCGGAAACUGCCAUUGAUACUAUUUAUCUUGAAUUCUGUUGAGGUAGGCGGAAUAUAUCAUGUAGCGGUGAAAUGCUUAGAUAUGAUAUAGAACACCGAUUGCGAAGGCAGCUUACUAAACAGAUAUUGACGCUGAGGUACGAAAGCGUGGGGAUCAAACAGG